UUUUUCAAAUUCGGAUAUCUGAAUCUUCGAUCGGAUCUCCGUUCUCCAUUCGGGGCGGGGAUGGAGGACCGAAAAUAUAUCCGAUUGGGGAUAAGGGCGGAUUUGGAGGUCAGGUGGAAGGUUCGGAUUGGGAUAUGUCAAUAUCCGCCUCCGAUCCGCCCCAUUGCCAUCCCUAUUUAGGGCUGAUAAACGAAUUAACCGCUCAUUUUCACUAGUUAAAAACUCGUUUGAGAUAGGUUGCUACAUAAACAAAUCAAUCUGGAACAUCUUUUUGAGCUCAUUAAACUUUCGAACCAUGCUCGGACUAAUUUCAUCUCACUACAACAAAUAUGACAAUUCAUAGCGUUAGUCUAUAGCGUUUUUUCAAGAAAGCUAUCUAUUCCCCAGAAAAAUGCGCACCUAUUUGUUCGCCCGCUAUCUUCUCCCCGGAAAAAUGCCCGCCUACUUUUUCGCUAACAUUUUGAAUGAAUCACGUUCACAUCAACCUCCAACCCCCAAUUUCUCUCUCUCUCUCUCUCUCUCUCUCUCUCUCUCCCACACACACACACACAAAUGAUGAAUCCGAUGACAGUCAAGCAGAAAUCCUACACAUCUUCGCCUAUCUUUGCUCCAAAUAAACAAGCCCUAAAUCACAGUCCAGCAGAAACCCAGUUUCAAAAUUGUACCCUUCAUUGACUUCUAGAUCUGGUUCUUUCUUCAGAGCAAACGAAGAGAACUCUCUGAGAUUCGUUCUUCAACUACUCUGUUGUGCGGCUUGCGCCCACUUGGUUGCCCCGAUUCUGAGAGUUCGAUGCCGUUAACGCACUUCUUCGCUGGAGAAUUAUCUAUUUGGACUCCCACAGGUUGUAAGUCUCUAUCUCUCUCUCUCUCUCUCUCUCACACACACACACACACACACACUAAAUAGCUCGAUUUUUGGCUUAAUCUGUGAUUCUUGUAAUUGUAAUUGGUUCACAACAUCUUGAGACUGAGUUAUUUUAUGGAGAUCCCUAUGAAUGUUACUACUACUAUACCUGGCCAUUAUCACUUCUCUUUGUUUUGUCAUAAGAUUAUCCCUUUUCCAUUUCCCUGCUAACAACUCUAUUGUGCUUCUUGGCCCCCAAGGUUGUGGUAAAAAUGUGGUACUAAUCAAUGCCCCUCUAUGAAUCUUAGAAGUUAAUUGUUGCGACUACUUAUUAGUAAUAUAUUUUUUUUUGUUUAUUUAUAUGUUGACUUGGAUAUUUAUAUGUUGACAUGUCAAUCUUUGUUUAUUCUACUAUAUACAGGUCAAACAAUUGUAAGGCCAUGGCUUCUUGUUUAUUUUACUAUAUAUUGCGAUAGUCACCUUAAUCAUUUAAUUUGGUUUUUGGUAAUACAAUUAUGCGAAGGAAUUGAAAAAAGUUGACUAGUCCAUGCACCAUAUUCAGCUUCAACUAAUCUGUUGUUUUUUUUUUUUUUUUUGGUUAUGGUCCAUUCACCAAAUGCACCAAAUUCUCUUGAUUUUUGACUUUCUCUUGUAGCUUUCACAUUACUGUAUAAUGUAUACUGAGUGUCCAUCACCGUUUACCCUAAAGCCCAAACAACACAUCAGCUGGGGUCAAAUACUUAAUAAAGAGCUAGGGAUUUACCCCCAUAGUCAGUUUUUAGUCCAUCUUUGCUUUUUUAUGAGCAAACUGAUUUUGUCAUAAUCGUAGUGUAACAUUACCAGUGGAUUUAUGCUAGUUAUACUUCUUGAAUGUAAAAGUUCAGCAAAUUGUGGUCUAUUGGUCGUUACUGCCUUAUAUGGAUAGGUGUUUGACUCUUUGUUGCCUGCAGUGUAUAGCUGAUUUUGAUUUUCUUUCUUUGGUUCACCAUUUGAAGUCUGUUUUUGGUUUACCUUGCAUCUUUGUUCCACUUUAAUUAAUAUUACACUGUUACCUUUCCAUGAUUAUUCCUUGAAGCUGAAAUGGCAAGGAGACAAGCUUUGUUUCCUGGUUUCCUGGAGACUCUGAGUUCCAGCAGCUGCUUCACAUAUUCAGGAUGAUGGGAACACCAACGGAUAAGCAGUGGCCAGGAGUCAGUUCUCUACAGGACUGGCAUGUGUAUCCCCAGUGGGAGCCUCAGAACUUGGCAUGUGCCGUUCCAGCAUUAGAACCUGAUGGUCUCGAUCUUUUAUCGAUAACGACUUAAUGCUCGAAUUUCGCUUCUUUUAGGUGCUUUAUAUCCACAAGAAGCUGGGACUUGCUAUUCUUUUGCUUAGUAUUGUUAUAAAUUUCUUUUUUAUAUAUUAGUAUAGAUAGAUUAUAGUCAUGCCUUGAAAUAUGAAAUAUGAAAUAUGAUGAGAUUUUUAGUAUUGUUAUAAAUUUCUGGCUAAGUGUUGAAGUGAAAGUCUCCAAUGAAAACCAGUAGUUUGAUUCUUCUUUUGUGGUGACUGGUAUGAUUUUACGAGAAGCAGUUCAGUGUGUGUUUACUCUCUUUUCAUUUGAGAAGUUUUAUAUGGAAUCCCAUACUCGACUAGAAAUCCGUCAGAAUACUCUUACAUGAUUCUAGUACUGUGGUUUCUUCCAUUUUGGAAAUGAUUUUUGGAGCAGUUUAUCUCAAUGAUUUUGGUUUUCUGUGUUAACUGGAUCAAAUGUGGGCUACUGCCACCUCUUAUUACUGAUGAGAUCAUCUUUGCAAUGUUAAUUUCAGGAAGUACUAGCUGCCGAUGUCACAGAUCAUAUCUUUGCAAUUGUUUUCUUCGGACUUCUACUACAUGCUACAUCUUUUCGGGGAUGAUUUUUGCUGGUACAACUUCUAAUACAACUUCAACCUACGGGCAUGUUUCUCAUAUUUUGGAGGGUUUCAAGUAGCCCAUUUAUGUGGUUGGCUUUGGGAGCAGAAAGGGUAUAGCCUCGGCAAAGAAGCAAGCUUCAAGUAAAGAAAAUCUGUGGAAUGAGAUAGUUGGCCAAGUGCAUGAUUACAUUUUCAGGAAAAUAGAAUUGCAUUAGUUAUUUUUUAAUGAGUCCAAUUAGUUGGGCUCUUUUAUGUAGUUUUUUUGUUGGGAAAUUGUUUCCCAAGCUAAUGUAAUGAAUCUUUAUUGUAUAUUGACAUUUGGGUAUAGUUGGUGUUGAAUGGAAUAAAUCAUUUUUGUUUCUUAAAUAAAA